ensembl:lncRNA
GCAGAGACUGAGGAAAGGGAAAGACACAGUGGCAAAGGCCACGUUGGAGAGCUUCCUCAGCAAGAUUCCUCCUUUUGUCCCAGAAAACUUGCAUAACCAACGUGUGCAGCUUCCAUGCUGUUUUCUCUCAGGAACAGACUUUCAUCACAACACCAAGAGGAUAUUUAGCUUGUCUGUUUCCUCUUUCUCCCUUCAUACAUCAUCAAGAAGGAUUUGGUGGCAGUUACUGAAGUUGAUGAAUCUGACUGAAAUUUCUUUUCUGGGUUGUGUGUUACAGGGGUUGCUUGAGGAGCUUUUGUGGUCAGUCUCAGAUGGAAUGGAAUCCUUCACUCUCUGUACCUUCUGGAUUUCACAGUCCUGAAAUGAGUCUCAGAAGCCUGUGAUCUGUUAGACCUGCACACUACUGAAGUGAAAAAAAGAAUGAAACGUAGAAUGUGGAAAGAAGACAGCACUGUUUUUUCUCAUAUUUGUUUUCCUUAUCAGCAAGUCCAACUUUGAAAAGCUGUCUUUGAUUUUGAAAUUUCUCUGCUGUUAUCCUAGAGACUUGUGUAAAUAUUUAGAGAUAUAAAUGCUGUUUUUUGGAGUAAGAGAUACCUGCGCUUUUGUGCACAGCAGUCAGAGAUGAAGUUUUUACAAUAUUCCCUUACAGUAUCCCUGUUUUCUUUAUUUCUGAAAGUUGACAUUGAAAUCAAAUCGGAUCAGUUUCUGGCUUAUGCUUUAAUGAGGUACCAAAGGGCAGUUAAGGAUCUGCUUCUUGAAAUGAUAUGUCUGAAUGAAAACCCACCUGUUGUUUCCUUUUGUCAGCUGUCCUCAGAUUCUCUUCUCAGUCAAAUCUAUGAAAUAAUUUGCCAGUUGUUGCAGUCUGUCAACUACACCUGUUAACUAGAAGUCAUUUCCAUACAACAGCUGUCCCUCCGUGGCUUCUGUGUAAUUAUUUGGCUGUCACCCCCUCUGCUCCCCUGCCCCCCCAAAACCAGAACCCACAGCCAUUUGGCAUUCUUCUAAGUACUUUUAAAGAGCCCCAGGCCUGAGUUGACAUCAAGGUUGGGUGUCAGUCUGGGAGUCAGGGCCCUUUUUGCAGCAGGAUCUAGGACUUUCAGUAAUUUCAUGUAGUUCAUUGGGUCAGAGUUAUGCUGAGCUGGCAAAGUAGAUCUUGCAUAAUGGCUGGUAACGUUUUAUCUGCUCGUGUGGAUAAACAGAGGAUUUUGAUUUUCAUCUCUCUCAGUCAUGCAUUUUUUUCCAACUGCUUGAUUAAUUUUUAAACUAUGCUGUUCAGGCUUUCAUAAUAAUCCUUCUCUUUCAUUCCAGCAAUUUUUGGCAGUUACUAAACUCCAUGCAUGACCAUGAGAUCCUUAAAACAGCUUAUCAAGAGGUAGUUGUACACUGACUAGAGCCAAAAAAGUUGUACUGGAGUACUGCUGUAUGGCACAGCAUUGGCCUAAUCAUUUUCAAAAUGAUCAAUAACUGCUUAGACAUUGAAAUUUGUGACAAUUUUAGUUCUUUUUUUUUUUUUCAGGUAUUAAUAACUUCCUGAUGAAUGCUAUCUUCAAACAUUUUGCAAGCAGCUACAGACCAGUAUGAGACUUUGUAGCUAGUUUUUAGACUGCAUAACGUUCAUUUCUUCCCUCUGGCUGCUGUUUUGAUUCUAGACAAUUCCCAAAAAAUUAUUCACCAAAACACUUCAGACCUUAAUUUUUGAAAAAAAGUUUUCCCCAAUUCAGCCUUGUUUUUUUUGAUUAAAAAAACUUGUCUGCUUUCAUUUCCUCCAGCUUAGGUUAAUGGCUCUUCUUUUUGGUUUGCCUAGUAAACUGCUUCAUUGCAAUCAAAUUUGGUGUGAAAUUCAGCUGUCAGAGUGCAAAAAAAACAAGAAUGACAUCAACUCAGUCCUUGUUUAGAGCUUGCUAUUCAUACAACAAAGGGAGAUUUCAAGGCCCUUCUAAUGUUCUGCCUUCCUCUAUCAUCAGGUCCCAGAUUGUAUUUCAGAUUUGGAUCUUUUUGUUGAAUAAGACAUGUUUCACUUUUUAGUGAAGUGGAUGACUAAAAAAUACCUUGAAUCACACUGUGUUCUCUCAUACCCAAAGCACCUACAGAGUGGCCCUUGAUCCCCUGUGUGGGUUAUACAAUUGUACAUUAAGGAAUUAGCAGAUGCUACAGGAAGAGCUACAUAUACUGUGACCUACGUUUCACCACUCAAAAUUACACAAGCUGUUGUUCAGGUUUAUUUGACUCCAUGUUAAAUCUCAGCCCUAGCCUCAGCACAUCUGACUGUGUCUUGAACAACUUUAAUUAAAAAAAACCACACAAAUGUUGACAUGUGGAUAGCCACGAGGAAAAGAUGAAAUUCUGAACAUACUGAACUUGCAACUGGGAGGAAUUUUCUGAGUCAGUGAGCCCUAUCCCAUGUUUUUCCAGGAAAACUUUCUUUCACUAAUCAUGGUCUACAUUAAAGUUUAUUUGGUUGGAUAAUCUACUGCCUUUGAAAGCCAAACAUCUCAUAGACUCCAUGUGGGUUGGGAUUUCAUUUCAAGUGCCAGUCCUAUGAAGAAAGGCUGAGAACACUUGGGUUAUGUAGCCUAGAAAAAACUCCAGAGAGAAUUUACAGUGGCCUUCCAGUAAUUAAAGAAGGCCUACUGGAAAGAUGUAGGGGGACUUUUUACCAGGGAGUAUAGUGGCAUGACGAAGGGUAACCAUCUGAAACAGUAAGAGGGUAGAUUUAGAUUAGUUAUAAGGAAAACAUUCUUCACUAUGAGGUGAUGAGACACUGGAACAGGUUGCCCAGAGAAGCUGUGGAUGUCUCCCUGCAAGCUCCCUGCAAGCAUGGAAGGCCAAGUUGGAUGGGGAUUUGGGCAACCUGAUGUAGUGUGUGGCAACCUUGGCCAUGAUAGGCAGGAUGUAACUGUAGGAUAUUUAAGGUCCCUUCCAACUCACGGAAAUUUUCUGACUAAUAACCCUAGGGUUAAGGUUGUUACACUCCUACUUACAGGUAUAUCUGAAUGGAGUACUGGCCUCCUUUUCUGUAGGGAGUAUGUAGAAUGACCGUAGAGGUUGGGAUAAGAAGGUUUUCUGCAUGUUAAACAUCUUCUGUUAUGCAGUGGGGAGAAUUUUAUGUCUAAAAUCUCCAGUUUCCAGUGGUAGGUGGUGGCAAGAGAUUCCUUGCUCCUUUUCUUAAUGCAGACUUCAUCAUCACCCUAGCUGUGUGUUGGUGACUAAUUUUUUUCCCUAAGCUAAAAGGCAAAACUGAGAGUAUUAGAGGGUGAAGUACUAACCUGCUUUACAAUACUGCAAAUUUUUUGCUAUUGAUCUUGUGCUGGUGAAGGUAGUUUUUUGUCCUUGUUAUAUAGUUUUCCAAUUUCUCUCUCUUUUGCAGCACUUACAUCCCAGCUGUGCUCAAUUUUAUAUCAGUCCUGGAGGAAACUUGUCAAACAGAUUCUGCACUUUGCUUCCCUAAAUUCACAUCCAGCUUUCCAAAGUAUUUUUCUGUUUGCUUCAUGAUUUUGUCCUUUCUGUAACUUUCUGAGAAGCAGUGGAAAGGCAAACUAUCAUUGCAGACCAUUUGCCUGUCUGGCAAGGGAAAUGGCAUGAUUUAAAUGUGGCUGAGCUAAAGCAAUAUUAAAACCUCCAGGAAAAUUCUAACAUUUGUUCGGAUGUUUUUGUUUAUUUUUGGAGCUGUGGAAUAUCCAUGAUUGUCAAUGUUUUGACCCUCACUUUGAAGAAUGUCAAAUUUGUGCCAGCAAACUCAACUGUCAAUAUUUUCAUUUCACACAUCCUUAUAGAAGUUCAUAACUGAUCUAUAAAAUUACACAUACUGAGCAUAUGUGGUCACAGGUAGGAAAGGAUU